rnacentral:lncRNA from 14 species
AUGGGGGAUACAGGAUGGGGGAUAUGGGAUGGAUGAGAUGGGAUGGGGGAGACGGGAUAGGGAUUGUGGGAUAUGGGAUUGUGGGAUACGGGAUGGGGAUACAGGAUGGAUGAGACGGGAUAGGGGUACAGGGAUGUGGGAUAGGGAACACAGGAUGGGGGAUAGGCCAUAAGGAUAUGGAGCGUGGGGUAGGGGAAUGGGAAUAUGGGAUGGGGGAGACAGGAUAUAGAAUAUAUAUAUAGGGUAUGGGAUGUGAAAUACAGAAUACGGGAUGUGGGAUACAGGAUAUGGUUAUGGGAGAGGGGAUAGGGAAUACAGCAUAUGGGAUACAGAAUAUAGAAUGUGAGUAUGGGAGGUGGGAUAGGGAAUACGGGAUGUGGGAUAUGGAAUAAGGGUACGGGGUAUGGAAUGUGCGAUACGGGAUGUGCAACAGAGGAGAUGGGAUACGGGUAUGAAGUAUGGGAUAGGGAUAUGGGAUGUGGGAUACGGGACAGGAGAUACAGGAGCAGUGAUAUUGGAUAUGGGAUAUGGGACCCAGGCCAUGGACAUGGGGGGAGGCCCCAAAACCAGACCCACAGUGGCCCCCCCCCCCCCGGGCCCAUCCCAUAAUGACCCCCCCAAUGGGACAUGGGGCAGGAAGCACCAGCUCCCGGCUGUGGGAUCACCGGGAAGAGCCAAUGUGGAGCCGGGAGCAGGGAUGGAGCCAGGGAUGCUCCUUAUGGAUGUUCCCUAUGGGAUGCUCCCUUUGGGAUGCUCCCAAUGCUCCUUAUGGGAUGCUCCCGAUGGAUGUUCCUUAUGGGAAGCUCCCUAUGGAUGCUCCCUAUGGAUGCUCCUUAUGGGAUGUUCCUUAUGGGAUGCUCCCUAUGGAUGCUCCCUAUGGAUGCUCCUUAUGGGAUGCUCCUGAUGGGAUGUUCCUUAUGGGAUGCUCCCUAUGGAUGCUCCCAAUGGAUGCUCCCAAUGGAUGCUCCCUAUGGGAUGCUCUGGGUGUCGGGAUCAUCCCGGUACCCCCGGGAUGCUCCAGGCAGCACCGGGAUCGGGUCCGUGGCGCCGGGAGCAGCGUUUUGGGGCGAUUCGGGGCAUUUUUGGGUGUUUCGGGCUCGCUCGAUGGGAAUUUGGGUGGAUUUUGGCGUUUCCGAGGGUCUGGGCCGCGUUUUGGGGCAAUUUGGGGCCAUUUGGGCAGUUUCGGACCCUGCAGCCGGGAUGGGUUUUGGGGCCGAACGGGCGAAUUUUGGGGAGAUUUGGGCCACAUUUUGGGGGAUUUUGGGCCAUUUUGGGGUGUUCCAGCCCGCAGCAUCCGGAAGCGUUUUGGGGGGAUUUGGGGUAAAUUGGGGCACAUCAGGGCCACGUUUUGGGGUGAUUUGGGCUGGUUUGGGGCCCAACGUGAGCGCCGCGCUCGGGAGCAUUUUGGGGCCAUUUGGGGCAUUUUGGGCCGUUUUGGGCUGUUUUGGGGUGUUUCGGGCACCGCGGACGGGCUCAUUUUGGGGCAGUUUGGGCUGAUUUGGGCUGUUCCAGGGCACACCCCCCGAACGCUGUUUUGGGCUGAAAUCAGAGGUUUUUGGGGGGGUCCCAUAAGGGGGCGGGGUCCCCGUUCCA